rnacentral:rRNA from 1 species
GGGGGGGGCAAGCGUUGUUCGGAAUUACUGGGCGUAAAGGGCGCGUAGGCGGUUGGAUAAGUCAGCUGUGAAAUCUCUGGGCUUAACCCAGAAAGGUCAACCGAUACUGCGGGGCUAGAGUGCAGAAGGGGCAACUGGAAUUCUCGGUGUAGCGGUGAAAUGCGUAGAUAUCGAGAGGAACACCUGCGGCGAAGGCGGGUUGCUGGGCUGACACUGACGCUGAUGCGCGAAAGCUAGGGGAGCGAACGGGAUUAGAUACCCCGGUAGUCCUAGCCUUAAACGAUGAAUGCUUGGUGUCUGGGGUUUUAUAGUCCCCGGGUGCCGUCGCUAACGCUUUAAGCAUUCCGCCUGGGGAGUACGGUCGCAAGACUG